GGGCGAUUUGCUGCUUCCGACGAUGAUAUAAGGUUCUACACUAGGUUCAUGACUUACAGGCAUUUAAUGAGUUUCUGGAAACUCAUUGAACCUGCAUCCCACAAAAUGAUUCGUGUCACCAGAGCAAGAGCAACUACAAUGAGGAGUGAAGCUGAAACAAGAGACAGUACAUGGGGUCAGUCCCUGCAGCCCAUUGAUGAGUUCUUCCUCUUCAUGAUCCACCUCUCAGUUGGCCAAACACAGCGGGAUCUGUCCCACAGAUUCAACAUUCAUCAGUCUACAGUUAGCCG